CUGAAAGUUGUGUGGUUUUUAGAGGUCACCAAAAAAAAUCUAUUUUGAGAUACUAAAAAUAUUUCGUUUUGCAUUUUGUUGUGCAGCCAUUUGUUACACAGGUUGAAGCUUAUAACUGAAAAUUGGAUUCAAAGAAUCGUAGAUGAAGAAAUCGAAGUGAGUUGAAUAUUUUCUGAACAUAUGAAAAUUGGAACAAGUUUUUUCUCAUUUUGCUAGUUUCCUGUUUUUAUGUUUUCUUGACUUUAGGAGAUGACAUAUGGAGGUGAACUAUACAAAGGUUGUUGCAACGAUAACAUUCUCCUUAAUUCAGUUUUUGCAACUCGGUUACAAGCACUCAGUGGACUUUUGGCCAAGACAAUUUUUUUUUUUUUUUCUCUCUCUCUAAAAUGUUAUAGAUACGAAUCCUUUGUUGAAUA